GACGAACCGUGCGAACGUUGUUCGGAAUCACUGGGCUUAAAGGGCGCGUAGGCGGACUGCCAAGUCCGGGGUGAAAUCUUUCGGCUCAACCGGAAAAUAGCCUCGGAGACUGGCGGUCUGGAGGGGGGUAGGGGCAGCUGGAACUUCCGGUGGAGCGGUGAAAUGCGCAGAUAUCAGGAGGAACACCGAUGGCGAAGGCAGCUCGCUGGGACGGUACUGACGCUGAGGCGCGAAAGCGUGGGGAGCAAACAGG
rnacentral:rRNA from 1 species